rnacentral:rRNA from 1 species
CAGCCGCCGCGGUAAUACGUAGGGCGCAAGCGUUGUCCGGAAUUAUUGGGCGUAAAGAGCUCGUAGGCGGUCUGUCGCGUCUGGUGUGAAAUCCCGAGGCUCAACCUCGGGCUUGCAUCGGGUACGGGCAGACUAGAGUGCGGUAGGGGAGACUGGAAUUCCUGGUGUAGCGGUGGAAUGCGCAGAUAUCAGGAGGAACACCGAUGGCGAAGGCAGGUCUCUGGGCCGCAACUGACGCUGAGGAGCGAAAGCAUGGGGAGCGAACAGGAUUAGAUAUCCCCGUAGUCCCUGUCUCUUAUAC